rnacentral:rRNA from 1 species
UCCGUAGGUGGAUAAUUAAGUCAGAGGUGAAAUCCUGCAGCUCAACUGUAGAAUUGCCUUUGAUACUGGUUAUCUUGAGUCAUUAUGAAGUGGUUAGAAUGUGUAGUGUAGCGGUGAAAUGCAUAGAUAUUACACAGAAUACCGAUUGCGAAGGCAGAUCACUAAUAAUGUACUGACACUGAGGGACGAAAGCGUUGGGAGCGAACAGGAUUAGAUACCCUGGUAGUC